rnacentral:rRNA from 1 species
GAUGAACGCUAGCGGCAGGCUUAAUACAUGCAAGUCGAGGGGCAGCACGGGUAGCAAUACCUGGUGGCGACCGGCAAACGGGUGCGGAACACGUACGCAACCUUCCCAAAACUGGUGAAUAGCCCUCCGAAAGGAGGAUUAAUACACCGUAACAUAAUGAAGUGGCAUCACUUUAUUAUUAUAGCUCCGGCGGUUUUGGAUGGGCGUGCGCCUGAUUAGGUAGUUGGCGGGGUAACGGCCCACCAAGCCUGCGAUCAGUAACUGGUGUGAGAGCACGACCAGUCACACGGGCACUGAGACACGGGCCCGACUCCUACGGGAGGCAGCAGUAAGGAAU